CCUGGCGGCCUUAGCGCGGUGGUCCCACCUGACCCCAUGCCAAACUCAGAAGUGAAACGCCGUAGCGCCGAUGGUAGUGUGGGGUCUCCCCAUGCGAGAGUAGGGAACUGCCAGGC
rnacentral:rRNA from 1 species